AUCUAACAGAUCAAACACAUUCCAGGAGUUUGGAACGUAUAAAUCUUUUUAGCAUUCUGGUGUCUGCAGAAAGAGCAGGGUUUAUCGACAAUCUGGGAAAGAAACAAAGCUCCAGCUUUGUCUCGAUACACAGAUACGAAAUAUUCCGUCAAGGAAGCAAAGCUAAGAGCUUGAGGGGAAGAGAACAAUACUUUUAGGUGAAGUGAGUCCACGGAUGGUAAAGCAUUUGUAUGGAGAGCACAAGGAAAAUUGGCUAGAGAAGUCCCGCGAGGGGCGAGAUUGUUUUGAUCUAAAAUUGUAGUUCUGUACAGAUGCUAGAUUUCGGCAUACUGAAAGGCUUCAAAAAGUUGUACAUGUGUUUUCGCAUGUCAAAAUACCUAUAUAAAGAGCGCAAGAAGCACAAAGACCAAGACAGCAGCAGCAGCAGCGACGAAGAGGGCGGUCAGAAAAGAAAAAACAGAACUUCAUCAUCCAAAAC
rnacentral:lncRNA from 1 species